CUGCCUGCAUCGGCCUCCCAAAGUGUUGGGAUUACAGGUGUGAGCCACCGCACCCCGCCUAUAAUUACAUUAUUCUGGUGUAAAGGUAAAGACUCUCAGCUGAAUUUUUUAAAAAACAGUUCUAAGCCAUUUACACAAAAUCCUUGGUAAGCUGCUGGGCUUUGUGGACUGUGUGGAAUAGAGGCUUAGGCCAUUAGAUGUGAGUAUCAAAGGAAAGGGUGACCCUAGAAUGUGGAGGCCCUGUGGACACAUAGCUUUGUGACCACCACAGAAUCUGGUCACACCCACCGAGUGUUAGAAAACCUGGCCUUGAACCAAGGACUUGACUGGGCCAGCCUGAGUUCCUGAACUCAUUUUAGUUCUGCUCCCUGGAGACCUGUGAGCAUGUCCAUGGACAGACAAAUUAUCUAAAGGACAUCUCUUAAGAAGAGAUGAGAUGGAGCCAACUGUGA